GUUUGUAUGAAGGUCUGGUUAUUAAAUGGGUACAUAGUUCAAUAGUAAUAUACUCUGAAACGCUCUGGUGACAAACACACUUUGCUGCCCUGUUUCCAAUUGUCCACAUGGCUGGGAGAACCUAUUCAACUAAGUUUCCUGUCCUCAGAUAAAGAGAGCUAUGAAAGCCUGUCUAUAUAUGAAGAGGUCCCCAGUUGUCCUGGGGACUCCAAGGGGUGCACGUUUUUGUCUUAGCACUGCACAGCUGAUUCAAAUGAUCAACUCAUCAUCAAGCUUCAAGUGAUACCUUGUAACUGGAGAUUCCUUCAAAGCGAUUGCUUACAGUUAACGUGUAGGGCACUGCAAGGUUGGGUGACCAGGGCCAUCUGGGCUUGCCUCCUGGAGGAAUUCAGGUGUGUGAAGGCUACCUGUGUCCUGCAUAAUUUCAUGAGGAUGGACACGAGGACCAGGAGGGGAUAUGCAGCCGCCGUGUGCCAGAGGAGAAGUCUGCAAUAUGUUUCAAGGAUGGGGUACAAUAAUGCAGCAAGAGAGGCAAUGUGUGUGCGGGAGAUCUUCACCUCCUACUUCUUCGAAGAGGGUGCUGUUCCCUGGCA
rnacentral:lncRNA from 1 species